rnacentral:rRNA from 1 species
UACGUAGGGUGCGAGCGUUGUCCGGAAUUACUGGGCGUAAAGAGCUCGUAGGUGGUUUGUCGCGUUGUCCGUGAAAUUCCCUGGCUUAACUGGGGGCGUGCGGCGAUACGGGCAGACUGGAGUACUGCAGGGGAGACUGGAAUUCCUGGUGUAGCGGUGGAAUGCGCAGAUAUCGUAAGGAAGACCAGUGGCGAAGGCGGGUCUCUGGACAGUUCCUGACGCUGAGGGCGCGA